rnacentral:antisense_RNA from 1 species
CUCGUCGAAAGUCUUCCAUUCUUCAAACUAGAUUAUUUAAAAAUGAAAAAGGAAGAAAGGAAAGCGAGGUCAUCUCAUUGCUCUAUCCGCCAAUCAGGAGGCUGAAUGUCAGUUUUGAACUAAAAGCCGCUCCGCUCCUCUUCUAGAUUUGGAAAACAAGCGAAAUUAAACUAAACCGCUGCACGCCUCUGAUGCGACAUCUGGACACUGCGUGGCGCUGGCGCUGCCGGAGCUGCGGGCCCGGCCUGGCGCCGGACUAGUCUCCCUUUUGAUGAGAAGAGUAAGUCUCAUUCUGAUUCAACAGCAGAGAUCAAAGAAAAGACUUCUGUUUUCUGGCCACCAGAUAUAUGUUAUCUGUGCUUAAAGAACUGAAAAACACACAUCAAAGGAGAAUUCUCUUGGAAAGAGAGGGUUCAAGCAUUAUUGUUAGGUGUGCUGGAAUCCUUUCCCGAGUCAGUACUGCUUUCUAGAACAGAACCAGGGAGAUCUAUUUGGAAUGUAUCUAACUCCAAAGAAACCAUCAGAGGUAAUAGUGGAGACGGGGUUUCACCAUGUUGGCCAGACUGGUCUUGAACUCCAGACCUCAUGAUUCGCCUGCCUCCGCCUCCCAAAGUGCUGGGAUUACAUGUGUGAGACACCACACUCAGCGGAUAGAGAGAAUUUUGACAGAUUGGCUUCUCUCACAUGGCAAGAAACAUUGCUGCUAGCACUUCUGGAGUUCUACGUUCUACAACAUCCACCACUGGAUCUUAACAUAGAUGUAAGAUCAAAUGUAAUAGCACGUCAAACAAUGUGUAACUCCAGUUAUACAAACAUUACUGUAUGUCAUUGGGGAUACGAAGCUCUACACACUUGAAGAUGGUGAAGGAAUAUAAAAAUCUAUAUGUCUCACAGUCCAGACUUGGAGUACAAGUAAUAAGAAGAAUAAAACUUACUCCCUUAAGUAGAUUCACCAUAAGUUAGCUCAGGGCAAUUCCAGUGCAAGUAUGGUCUGUGAUCCAACAGUAUCUCACAGACAGCAAGUUGAACAUUGUGGGAUGCAUAAGCUAUUGAGGCCUUUGAAGCUUUCUGCUACAUGGAGGCUAGGGCCAGAGUCAAGAUUUAUGCUUUGCAGCACACUGGUCAGCUGUUUUUGCAAAUCAGAUUAAAUGAUUUUUAAAUGAGGCUGAGAGCAUGGGAGAUACUAAUGUGUGUUUCCUUGUGAGCUACUGCAUAAGUUAGGAAAUUGAAAUACAGAAAGAUGAAAAGUGAUUCGCCCAAGCAUAUAGAUCAAAGCUGUGGCAGA